rnacentral:misc_RNA from 1 species
GUGAAUCAUCAAAUUUUUGAACGCAAAUUGCACUCCCUUCGGAGAGUAUGCCUGUUUGAGGGUCAGCCUAAAAAAAAAUCGUCAUAGUCGUUGUUUCGCGGUGACUUUCGUCGGAAAUUGUGUCAUCUUACACUUUUCGGUUUUUUAAGUGGCUUAAAGAUUUCUUUACGAUUCCACGAAUGUUUCUAAGAUUUUACUUCUUACAGACGUUAAAUGUUUAGAUCUUUCUUAGACGUAGCUAUUGCAUCGGAUCGCGUCCAUAAAUAUUUCGAUAACUG